CUACGUAGGGUGCGAGCGUUGUCCGGAAUUACUGGGCGUAAAGAGCUCGUAGGUGGUUUGUCGCGUCGUCUGUGAAAUUCCGGGGCUUAACUCCGGGCGUGCAGGCGAUACGGGCAUAACUUGAGUACUGUAGGGGAGACUGGAAUUCCUGGUGUAGCGGUGAAAUGCGCAGAUAUCAGGAGGAGCACCGGUGGCGAAGGCGGGUCUCUGGGCAGUAACUGACGCUGAGGAGCGAAAGCAUGGGUAGCGAACAGGAUUAGAUACCCUGGUAGUCCAUGCCGUAAACGGUGGGCGCUAGGUGUAGGGGUCUUCCACGACUUCUGUGCCGUAGCUAACGCAUUAAGCGCCCCGCCUGGGGAGUACGGCCGCAAGGCUAAAACUCAAAGGAAUUGACGGGG
rnacentral:rRNA from 1 species